UACGAAGGGGGCUAGCGUUGCUCGGAAUCACUGGGCGUAAAGGGUGCGUAGGCGGGUCUUUAAGUCAGAGGUGAAAUCCUGGAGCUCAACUCCAGAACUGCCUUUGAUACUGAAGAUCUUGAGUUCGGGAGAGGUGAGUGGAACUGCGAGUGUAGAGGUGAAAUUCGUAGAUAUUCGCAAGAACACCAGUGGCGAAGGCGGCUCACUGGCCCGAUACUGACGCUGAGGCGCGAAAGCUAGGGGAGCAAACGGG
rnacentral:rRNA from 1 species